GACGAACGUUGGCGGCGUGCUUAAUACAUGCAAGUCAACUGAAGCAGUGGUAGCAAUAUCGCUGUGUAGGUGGCGCACGGGUGAGUAACACUUAGGUAAUCUGCCUUCAGGUCUGGCAUAACUCCGGGAAACCGGGGCUAAUAGCAGAUGAUGCAGCGGCUCGACAUCGAGACAGUUGUUAAAGCUAUGGCGCCUGAAGAUGAGCCUGCGUCUGAUUAGCUAGUUGGCGGGGUAACGGCCCACCAAGGCAACGAUCAGUAGCUGGUCUGAGAGGAUGAUCAGCCACACUGGAACUGAGACACGGUCCAGACUCCUACGGGAGGCAGCAGGAAGGAAUAUUGCUCAAUGGGAGAAAUCAUGAAGCAGCAACGCCGCGUGAGGGACGAAGGGCUUUUGCUUGUAAACCUCUGUAGUGAGAGAAAAAAAUCCCAAUCUUUGGGACAUGAUGGUAUCUCAAAAGUAAGCCCCGGCUAACUACGUG
rnacentral:rRNA from 1 species